UACGGCGGGUGCGAGCGUUAAUCGGAAUUACUGGGCGUAAAGCGCGCGCAGGCGGCCUUUUAAGUCUGACGGUGAAAUGCCGGGGCUCAACCCCGUGCCCGCCGGAGAUACUGGGAGGCUGGAGACGAGUAGAGGCAAGCGGAAUUCCGGGUGUAGCGGUGGAAUGCGUAGAGAUCCGGAAGAACACCGGAGGCGAAGGCGGCUUGCUGGGCUCGGUCUGACGCUGAGGCGCGAAAGCGUGGGGAGCGAACAGG
rnacentral:rRNA from 1 species